rnacentral:rRNA from 1 species
CAGCCGCCGCGGUAAUACGUAGGGGGCGAGCGUUGUCCGAAGUUACUGGGCGUAAAGCGCGCGUAGGCGGCUUCUUAAGUCUGAGGUGAAAGGUUCAACGCUUAACGUGAACAGUGCCUUGGAUACUGGGGAGCUUGAGUAUGGGAGAGGGCAGUGGAAUGGCUGGUGUAGCGGUGAAAUGCGUAGAUAUCAGUCGGAACACCCAUGGCGAAGGCAGCUGCCUGGCCUAAUACUGACGCUGAGGUGCGAAAGCGUGGGGAGCGAACGGGAUUAGAGACCCCUGUAGUCCCUGUCUCUUAUA